AGCGUAGAAUAAAUAAUAGUCCAGCCGUCCUUUUGUGGCGAUCCGUUGUAAUCGCAAUUAAUUAUUCCCUGUGCGAGUGCGAACAGCCUUUUGCUUUCCAUAUUUUACUGCCAACUACUGACGUCAUUACGUUUUCGGUAUCACGUCUCGCCAGAUGAACCGCAAAACCUCUGUAACGGAAAGGUCCCAUCUCCAGGUACCCGUUUCCGGCACCGACGUCGUUGCCACGUGCGCAGCAAAUUAAAUUUUCAUCUUGAAAGAUUGCGGUUUUAGCUUCCAAAACAACCACCGUUGGGGCGUACGUCAUGAUCGAAGGAGGCUUAUGACCGUCCAAAUGCUUGGACCAAACGAUAGACAACCGGUUUUCAGUAGAACAAUGGUAGGCAAAAACAGCGGGUUCAGCGCAGUGUUUUUUAAUGUUUUAUCAACACAGCAGUGCGAACAGUAUUGAUAAGGAGCCGUGCGAAAAUCAGUUCGCAGGGGUCCUUCGCUAUAAAUACUUCCAUGAUAAUGGGCCCAGACAAUGUCAGCCUUGCCAGAUUAGUGAAGGAUGUUUAUGAAAGGCGAGACAUGUUUUUACUCCCAGCAGGCGAUUUCGUUCCAAUGCCCCCCGCGCAUGCGAUUCCAGAUUGUCACUGAAUGCCUCGGCAGAUGCAGCGUUACAAGGGGUGAAGGAAUUAUUCAAGAUCGUGGCAACAAUCGAUGGACCAAGGAAAGGACACGUUAUUUUCUAAAUCACGAUGAAGUAACACUGAUGUUCCCUGUAACUUACAAUUUGUUGUCAUAUAUUGGAAUAACUCUUCUACUUGAACAUACUAGUUUUAUUAUGAUUCUUACCAAAAAUCAUACAACCCAAUCAAACAACAACAACAACAACAACAACAACCCUCCUGCUAAACCGGUUCCAGUAAGGUGAAUAGUGAUUGUUGUUCUUUCUUUUCCUUAUUUUCCAAAUUCUUAUGCGAAUACCAUUUUACACACGCAUUAAAAAACACUUACCGAGUCCAUACUUGUUGCGGCCAGUCAACAAUGCGUGAUGAUUGUUCAUAGGCACCACUGUCCGUGCAGACGAUGAACUUUGACGAAGUCCUGAUGCUGGCAUGGGAGAUUGUGUUGAGAAGAGUGGUACCAGCAGUUUGUCGAACUGCUUGGUCAACAAAUCAGACUUGCUCACUUGACGCAACAUUAUGGACACUUUAAUCGUUUCACCGGCACACUACGAUCUGCGUACACGACACCUGAUUUAUACGUUGCUUGAUCUACGCACACACGAAUGGCAAAUGGCAAGCUGCUACCGGUUGAAUUGUUUCUCCGCCGUAGGUCACUUGUUUCAGACACACUUGCGCCGUGUUUCACUUCCCGUGUUGAACUGAUCGUUCCACGCUGAUGCGGCGUCUACCAUAUGUACAAGACGGGCCCCCGAAUUUCCAUACACACCACACACGCUCAUUAUCAGUACACAAAGCAACAGCCGGGAUUUGCCGUCGCAAAAAGGGUAGAAAAAAAGGUAACCAAACUUAUCGCACCGGGAGAUGACUGAUUACUCUUUUGAAGGAACGGUUUAACACUGCACCGUAUGCCGUGGACACUACUGCCAGGGGCCAUAAACUUGCGGCCCGUGGGUUCUUCGUCACUAAGCUCGUAUUGCAUCGAUAGCAUUGUUGUGCCACCGACUUGUUCCCAUUACCUGUACACGCACCUUGCCACAGGGUAUGACGAUUUGGGCACCCGAAAUCGGUUGCUGCGUUGUUGCUUAGCGACAAUGAAUUCGCUGAUAACGCACGCUGCCUGUUUGAGUAGAUGACGCAUGGAUCGAUCUGAACGCGUUACGAUGAUAGGGUAUCAUCGUGUAAACGAUCGUUAUUUAGAACAAUAAUAGCCAAGCACAAAUGAUACUAGAAGAUUCUUCACGACACCUUACCAUAACACGACCUUACACGAUCAAGCGAAAGCUAUUGCCUUUAAUUGUUUGACAUAUGUUUGAAAACGAUAAUACUUAUCGUACUGUCCGUGUUAAGUUUCAUCAGUAUGGAGUUUGUCUACAUGAAUAAUGAUUCAUGUAUUUAUACUUCGUUUAUAUUUAUGUAGCAGAAUUGUAAUUGAAGUUAAAAAAAUCAAACGUAAAUAAAGACAAUGUUCUUAGGUAUUACAGUAAUGCAAAAAUGUAGCAAAAUGGCAGUAAAUCUGUUACAAAAAUUAAUAUUAGAUUUCUCAAUGCUUUUUAACCCUAUGACUUCUCUUACACAUCACACAAAAGAAUAGGCUCACAAUAGAACGCACACUGUCAAUUGAAUAUUAAUGGAAGACUUUAGCUUUAUAAUAAAUUUUGAACACAAAACUAUCGUUUCUAUUUAACAAUAUGUACGUGUCCUUCACAUGCAACUUUUAUGAAUUACAACACAGAAUAGAAACAAAACAUAUUACAAUGCAAUUUGAAUAAAAUAUCAUUUAGUGAAUAAAACACUAUUCUGAGAUAAUGU